rnacentral:rRNA from 1 species
UUCGAUGGCGACCGGCGCACGGGUGAGUAACACGUAUCCAACCUGCCGAUGACUCGGGGAUAGCCUUUCGAAAGAAAGAUUAAUACCCGAUGGCAUAGUUCUUCCGCAUGGUAGAACUAUUAAAGAAUUUCGGUCAUCGAUGGGGAUGCGUUCCAUUAGGUUGUUGGCGGGGUAACGGCCCACCAAGCCUUCGAUGGAUAGGGGUUCUGAGAGGAAGGUCCCCCACAUUGGAACUGAGACACGGUCCAA